GAUGAACGCUGGCGGCGUGCUUAACACAUGCCAGUCGAACGGAAAGGCUCCUGCUUGCAGGGGUACUCGAGUGGCGAACGGGUGAGUAACACGUGGGUGAUCUGCCCUGCACUUCGGGAUAACCCUGGGAAACUGGGUCUAAUACCGGAUAGGACGAUGGUUUGGAUGCCAUUGUGGAAAGUUUUUUCGGUGUGGGAUGAGCUCGCGGCCUAUCAGCUUGUUGGUGGGGUAAUGGCCUACCAAGGCGUCGACGGGUAGCCGGCCUGAGAGGGUGUACGGCCACAUUGGGACUGAGAUACGGCCCAGACUCCUACGGGAGGCAGCAGUGGGGAAUAUUGCACAAUGGGCGCAAGCCUGAUGCAGCGACGCCGCGUGGGGGAUGACGGCCUUCGGGUUGUAAACUCCUUUCGCUAGGGACGAAGCGCAAGUGACGGUACCUGGAGAAGAAGCACCGGCUAACUACGUG
rnacentral:rRNA from 1 species